rnacentral:rRNA from 1 species
UGACCGCUGACAGAAUGCUUAACACAUGCAAGUCAACUUGAACUUCGGUUUGGGUGGCGGCCGGGUGAGUAACGCGUAAAGAACUUGCCUCACAGCUAGGGACAACAUUUGGAAACGAAUGCUAAUACCUGAUAUUAUGAUUUUAGGGCAUCCUAGAAUUAUGAAAGCUAUAUGCGCUGUGAGAGAGCUUUGCGUCCCAUUAGCUAGUUGGAGAGGUAACGGCUCACCAAGGCGAUGAUGGGUAGCCGGCCUGAGAGGGUGAACGGCCACAAGGGGACUGAGACACGGCCCUUACUCCUACGGGAGGCAGCAGUGGGGAAUAUUGGACAAUGGACCAAGAGUCUGAUCCAGCAAUUCUGUGUGCACGAUGAAGUUUUUCGGAAUGUAAAGUGCUUUCAGUUGGGAAGAAAAAAAUGACGGUACCAACAGAAGAAGUGACGGCUAAAUACGUG